UGCAGAAUCCCGUGAACCAUCGAGUCUUUGAACGCAAGUUGCGCCCUAAGCCUUCUGGCCGAGGGCACGUCUGCCUGGGUGUCACAA
rnacentral:rRNA from 2 species